CCUACGGGCGGCUGCAGUGGGGAAUAUUGCACAAUGGGCGCAAGCCUGAUGCAGCCAUGUCGCGUGUGUGAAGAAGGCCUUCGGGUUGUAAAGCACUUUCAGCGGGGAGGAAGGCGGUGAGGUUAAUAACCUCAUCGAUUGACGUUACCCGCAGAAGAAGCACCGGCUAACUCCGUGCCAGCAGCCGCGGUAAUACGGAGGGUGCAAGCGUUAAUCGGAAUUACUGGGCGUAAAGCGCACGCAGGCGGUCUGUCAAGUCGGAUGUGAAAUCCCCGGGCUCAACCGGGGAACUGCAUUCGAAACUGGCAGGCUAGAGUCUUGUAGAGGGGGGUAGAAUUCCAGGUGUAGCGGUGAAAUGCGUAGAGAUCUGGAGGAAUACCGGUGGCGAAGGCGGCCCCCUGGACAAAGACUGACGCUCAGGUGCGAAAGCGUGGGGAGCAAACAGGAUUAGAUACCCGGGUAGUC
rnacentral:rRNA from 1 species